CCUACGGGAGGCAGCAGUGGGGAAUAUUGCGCAAUGGGGGAAACCCUGACGCAGCAACGCCGCGUGAGUGAGGAAGGACUUCGGUCUGUAAAGCUCUGUUAAUGUGGAAAAAUGGUAGUUGGUCUAAUAGGCCGAUUAUUUGAUGGUACACAUAGAGGAAGCACCGGCUAACUUCGUGCCAGCAGCCGCGGUAAUACGAAGGGUGCAAGCGUUGUUCGGAUUUAUUGGGCGUAAAGCGCGCGUAGGCGGACCUGUAAGUCAGAUGUGAAAUCUCGGGGCUCAACCUCGAAACUGCGUCUGAAACUGCAGGUCUAGAAUCUCGGAGGGGGAAGGGGAAUUUCGCAUGUAGGGGUAAAAUCCGUAGAUAUGCGAAGGAACACCAGAGGCGAAGGCGCCUUCCUGGACGAGUAUUGACGCUGAGGCGCGAAAGCGUGGGGAUCAAACAGGAUUAGAUACCCUGGUAGUCCACGCUGUAAACUAUGAACACUAGGUAUUGGAGGAUUUGACCCCUUCAGUGCCGUAGCUAACGCGUUAAGUGUUCCGCCUGGGAAAGUACGGUCGCAAGACUAAAACUUAAAGAGUAAUUGGAGNGNGAGNGNGACGACGACGACGACGAGGAGGAG
rnacentral:rRNA from 1 species